UUUCUCUUAGCUUAAUUAAAGCAUCAGUUUGAAGAUCUGAAGAUAAUUUUAUUAGAGAGAC
rnacentral:tRNA from 1 species